rnacentral:rRNA from 1 species
UACGGAGGGUGCGAGCGUUGUCCGGAAUUAUUGGGCGUAAAGAGCUCGUAGGCGGUUUGUUGCGUCGGCUGUGAAAUCCCGAGGCUCAACCUCGGGUCUGCAGUCGAUACGAGCAAACUAGAGUGUUGCAGGGGAGACUGGAAUUCCUGGUGUAGCGGUGAAAUGCGCAGAUAUCAGGAGGAACACCGGUGGCGAAGGCGGCCUGCUGGGCAGUUUCUGACACUGAUGCGCGACAGCGUGGGGAGCAAACAGG